UACGUAGGGCGCGAGCGUUGUCCGGAAUUAUUGGGCGUAAAGAGCUCGUAGGCGGCCUGUUGCGUCCGCUGUGAAAUCCCAGGGCUCAACCCUGGGCGUGCAGUGGAUACGGGCAGGCUGGAGGCAGGCAGGGGAGAACGGAAUUCCCGGUGUAGCGGUGAAAUGCGCAGAUAUCGGGAGGAACACCAGUGGCGAAGGCGAUCUUCUGGACGGAUACUGACGCUGAGGCGCGAAAGCUAGGGGAGCAAACGGG
rnacentral:rRNA from 1 species